rnacentral:rRNA from 1 species
AGAGUUUGAUCCUGGCUCAGAAUGAACGUUGGCGGCGUGGAUUAGGCAUGCAAGUCGAGCGCGAACCCCGCAAGGGGGGAAAGCGGCGAAAGGGACAGUAAUACGUAGAUAUCUGCCCUCGGGUCCGGGAUAGCUGCGGGAAACUGCAGGUAAUACCGGAUAACAUCUCCGGAUCAAAGGUGUGAUUCCGCCUGAGGAUGAGUCUGCGUCCUAUUAGCUAGUUGGUAAGGUAACGGCUUACCAAGGCAAUGAUGGGUAGCGGGUGUGAGAGCACGACCCGCGUCACUGGGACUGAGACACUGCCCAGACACCUACGGGUGGCUGCAGUCGAGGAUCUCCGGCAAUGGGCGCAAGCCUGACCGAGCGACGCCGCGUGCGGGAUGAAGGCUUUCGGGUUGUAAACCGCUGUCAGAGGGGAUGAAAUGUAGGUGGGUUCUCCCAUCUAUUUGACAUAGCCUCAGAGGAAGUACGGGCUAAGUUCGUGCCAGCCGCCGCGGUAAUUC